rnacentral:lncRNA from 1 species
GCAGCCUCAGGUGCCAGGCGGCGGGCGGGCGCGCGCGGGGGUCCGCGGGCCAGGCUUCCUCCGACUCCGGACCCCGAGCGGCGGCGGACGGGGAGGGGCCGGGCGGCGCAUGCGCGGGGCCCAGGGGCGCGGGUGAGGGCGCUUGCCGCGGGCUCGUGCUGGGAGAUCCCGGGCCCCUGGGGCCGCUUCUAGCUCGGCCUCCCUUGGAGCGUCCAGGGCCUUCCCGGAGCCUCGGCGUCCGCAGCUGUCGGUGGGGCUGGGGGCUGGGUAGAAGUGGAGGCCGGGGACUUCGGAGACACUGCGUCCUUAAGUUGUCACCCCGGGGAGAAGGCCCACCAAGCGAGUGCCUCGGACUGCCGUGAAAGGCCCUGCCUCGUGGCAAGACAAGCUCAGAAGCAGGACGCUGUCAUCACAGCCAGUGCAGGGACAGGAAGUCCAGAUGGAGCCCUGGUGUGUCGAACCGAAAGAGGAAGGUCCCUCUCCUGGUGGAGGGUGACAGCGGCUGGCGACAGGAGGAAGGCUUAAGCGGAAAGCCCUCCAUGCGGAGCGGCAGGAAUCCUUUCCAGGUCCUGGCUUCGGGUGUGAAUGUGGCGUGAAGAGGAUCCAGCGCGACGGAGCCUUGUAAAUCACCUCUAGUGCCAUGGAAUAAAGUCUCUGAAGAAGUAUCA